CCUACGGGAGGCUGCAGUAGGGAAUCUUUCACAAUGGGCGAAAGCCUGAUGGAGCAACGCCGCGUGCAGGAUGAAGGCCUUCGGGUUGUAAACUGCUUUUAUAAGCGAGAAAUAUGAUGGUAACUUAUGAAUCAGGAUCGGCUAACUACGAGCCAGCAGCCGCGGUCAUACGUAGGAGCCGAGCAUUAUCCGGAGUGACUGGGUGUAAAGAGUUGCGUAGGUGGCAUAAUAAGUAGCUAGUGAAAUCUGGUGGCUCAACCAUUCAGACUAUUAGCUAAACUGUUAAGCUCGAGACCGAUAGAGGUAACUGGAAUUUCUAGUGUAGCAGUGAAAUGCGUAGAUAUUAGGAGGAACACCGAUAGCGUAGGCAGGUUGCUGGGACGGUUCUGACGCUGAGGCACGAAAGCGUAGGGAGCAAACGGGAUUAGAUACCCUAGUAGUC
rnacentral:rRNA from 1 species